rnacentral:lncRNA from 1 species
CCCACAUUUGAAAUUUAAUAAAGUUGUGGCCAAUUUAAUCCCAUAGCACGUUGUCUUGAGUCGUUAUUCCACAUGACGGGGGGGACCGCUCGGGAUCUGGGGACUCCGCCUGUCCACGCAAAUAGCUGUUCCUAGAAGAUGCUUAGCAAAAAUAAAAUAAAAUCCAAAAACCUUGGUUAUUACCACCAAAGAACCACGUUACGCAUCAGGAAUAAUUUUGCCCGGCCUGUUCCAUAGUUACCUUUUGAACUCCAUUUCCCAUAUCUUUUCGUAAUCUUGCAGGUUCUGCUGGAAAGGCUUAGUGGAGUUGAUGUUCUAGUCUGCUUCCUCAUUGGAUCCUCACAACAACCCUGUGAGUUAGGUUAGGCUGAGAGAUAGAGCGCUUCAUGGCACAGUGAGGAUUUGAACUCAAGUCUCCCAGGUCCUAAUCCUGCACUCUAACCUCUCUCAGUAACUUCCCUCAGAGAAAGCACUUUCCCACAGGAUCCUAGACUUGCCAUGUCCCUGAGCAGCCACUCUCCAGUCGCCAUCAACAGGUUCAUCCUCAAAAUGCUUUAUUUGCCUUUUCAGCAAGUUUUUAACUUACCUGUCUUUCUCUCCAUCCAAGGCAACUUGAGCCAACAUGAAAUUAGAAGGAACGGCUUUGUCCUCUCCUUGUCUUCUUUGCUUUUUCUCUCUCGACAUGCACAUUUCUAGCUUCAGCAACAAAAAACCCAAACUUUUCCUUCAUGAAAUGACUUCUCUAGUUGCCUUUUAAAAGAAAAGCCUUCUAUUUUUCCUACUCAUUUUCCCUGUUCUUUAAGUGGACUUCAUAUCCAUGUACCCUUUUAUGUGCUCCUUCAUUUCAUCCAAAGACUCAUCAGUUUGAAAGGUAAAUAACAUUUGAUUCUCACCUUCCUUCAUUUAUCUUCAUUUAUCUUGGCUUUUCCAGUUAAGUAUUUUUGAUUUUCUUGAUUCUCUUUAAAAUCUCCAUCUUGAUAUUUUUCUGAUUUUGUUUGUUUGUUUGUUUGUUUGUAAAAUACGUCCACAUGACUUCUGUGACUCUGCAGGAAGAGGUGGCUUCAUCUGAGUGUUGUUUUUUUUAAAUGAUAUUUAUUGAAAAUUUUUAGAAUUACAAAAGAGAACAAAGCAGAAAAAGAGAAAGAAAAAACAAAGAAAAAACAAACCACAUCAAACAAUACAAAUUCAAAAAACAAAAAUACCACAAACACUCAAAAACAAAUCCAUCAUUCUCAAAUCCUCAACUGUCAUUACCUUCUUUCUUUGACCUCCUCCUCCUCCCUUUUUUUGUAUCCUAGUUGUUAAUUGUCGCAGCAAAUCCUUUCCAUAUUUCAUAAUAUUCUGUCCUUACAUUACCUUAAUCUAUUUUAAUCUUAUCUUACUAUAAAGCACCUUAAAGUUUAAAACUUAAAUCUUAUUUUUACCAACUUCUCAUAACCAUAAUAUUCUUACAUAAUUCUUUAAACAUUUUUGCUAAAGCCAAGUAAUUUCGUUCCAACAUUCUUCUAACAUUCAUCAAUUUUAUAAAACAAUCCUAGUAGUAAAAAAAAGAAAUGAAAACAAUCCAAUCUUCAUCCAGCGUCCCUUCCUCCUGGUCCCGGGUUUUGUCAGUCCUUAUUAUCCCAUCGAUCUAGCGCAUUAACCUGGUAACCUUGUAUCCGAGGCCCUUAAGUCUCUUCCAUGUCCCUUCCGCAGCUCUUCUUCAUAUUUAUAACUGUAUUUUCCUUUGUCUCCUGCUCCUUUCACUCGUGGGAACUCCAGCUUAACAAUGUUUUUGACCCUUCUCGACAAAUCAGCCCCUUUUCCAUAGUCCACACUAAACUCCAUGCGGUAUUUAAGAAAAUGUUUCAAAAUCCCUCCAAAAUUAAGAGCCCCCACAACCCCAAACAUCUCACGGCCCAUUGCCAGACUUGAAAGGUCCAAACAUCCCUGCAUAGGGGGGUCUAUCCAACCCCCCAUUUCCAAACCAAACCAAACUUUAUCUUUCCAAAUCUGGCUUUUUCCAAGUUCAUUUGUCAAGUCCAAAAGCUCAUGUUCCUGCUGGGCCACAGCUCCCUUCAUCUCUGGCGCCCAAGAUUCAGCAACAUCCUCUUCCCUCAUCUGUUCUGUCAGGGCACACUCCUGAUUUAAUUCCUGGGUGGGCUCCAUAUAAUAUCCCACUGCCUGUUCAAAAUUUCUGAUCGCAUCAGUCAUCAAGUCCGUCUUCUCAUGUAGCUGUUCCAGUAGGGCAUUUGUUUUACAGAAAGCACGCAACAGAGCUUCUGAAUACAUUGUCCUGCAAGGUCAGAUGUCUAUUCCCACGAUUGUAAUCUGUAACAGCUGCAAGCUCCCGGAGUUGGUUACAGUUUCACAGUCUCCCUCUAGGGGGAAAACUUCUAUUUGUUCUUUCUUUUAAAGACAAGUCUAACAACAAAGUUUCCUUUUUCAGAUAUUUUGUAAAUAUUUGUUCCUUUAAAAUGCGAAGGGGAACAAUGGAAUCAAUAUUUCUCUUCUUAUAGCUAUCUGUCAAAAACGUUUGUCUCUGGUCAAUGAGCUUCAAAAAACGUCAGUCCUGACACCCCGCUCCAGGAUCAGGACGGUGGAAAGUUACUUUACUUUACACUCACUUCUGCAGGUUUAAACAGUCCGAAACAAUCCCCCUCUUCUCCUGCUUCCGAAGGGGGGUUCAACAAUUUUAAAUGAUGAAAGUUAAUCUUUUACAAGCAAUUUUCUGAGCUCUAGUUUGCCAUGUCUUUGCUUUAAUCUAUCUACAAAGAAACGGAAGGCUGACUUCCUGUUUAGACCUUCCCGUUUCAGUGCCAAAUUGAGGUAAACUUUUAAGUCCAAUUUUCCUUUCUGCUCGCAAGUCCUUAUUUAAAGUCCAAUUGUCCGAAAUUUAAGUACUCACGGGUGAUUAUUUUAGGAGCCAAAUUGUCCCAGGAAAAAGGCAGCGCUCUCCGGCAACGGCUGUGCGGCUUCACUCCACGGAAGAAGCAGUUGACUCUCAGCACCGCACCACUUCCCCCUCUUCGCUCCGGAGCCCGUUAGUGGGUUCUUUUGUGGGUUGGGGGGGCGCUAAAGGUGCCCGCCGAGUCCCAUGGUCACAGGCUUCAUCUGCCUGUGAUUUUUGAAAGGGUCCCCGCUUCGCCGUAGCGGAAAAGACCCGUUUCGCGUGGAGCUAGUCCCUCCAGAUCAGAGGGAGUCCGCCGUUGCCGAUGGCGCCACCCCGGAAGUCCGCUUCAUCUGAGUGUUGUGGGCUCUUCAGACACAACUAUAAAGAGAGGGUGUCAAUGAGAUGCACCUGGAAGAGACUGGGGUCUCCAGCCCCUUUUCUCUCUCCUACAGAAACAGAGGAACAAAAACAGCAGGUUACCUAAAGCCGCGCAAUCAAAAUGCAUGUUUCUCUCAAUAAUACACUGCUGCAGGUUUUUACUUGAUGUAUCAAGAGCUCUUACUCACUUUGCAUCUUAGGAGUUAACAGAACAGUUCUGCCUCAGACACAGUGAACUCUGCGACGUCUGUAAAUCAGAAGAUCUGGAACAAAAGAAAGAGUGUUGUCCCACCCGCAAGUGUACCUCACUGUGGACCGACACAGGAAAAGGUCUUCUCUGCAGUGACAUCUCGACAGUAGAAGUUCCCUUGGAAACAGGAAUGGCGGCCACCUGGCGUCUUCAGUUCCCAGCUCAUCUGAAAAGAAUGACUGAAUGACCAAUGUUGCCAAGUGCAAGCUCCUUAGGAACUUGUAUAUUUUAUGUAUUAUUACAUCAAUAACUUACCUUUUCUCCAGUGAGUUCAUGGCGGUGGGAUUGUCCUUCUCCUGUGAGCUGAAACAGUCUUUGCACAAAGAGUUGCAGAAGAACGCAAUAUAAAUUUUCUUCCCAGCUAAGCAAAAGAUACUCACGUAGAUGUCCUUCAGGCAUAAUGUAUACAAGUAUAUUGCUGCUAUCAUUGUGAUGUAGCGUUUAGGGUUUACUUGAGAGGUAUUUGAGCCUGUCAUCACCUCUGAAUAUUCAAGAGUACUAGGUAGUUACCUUCCUUCAGCUGCGAUGGUCGCUUCAAAGUGAGAAGUGAUAGGUUUGCCUGCCCUGUUGCAUAGUUACCUUUUGACGUCCGUUUCCCGUUGUUGCUGGAAAGGCCAGUCCUUUCAGUACCGCUCUAUAACCUACAAGCAUUCGUUCUGCCUCCACUGGAAUCCUCCACUUGCAAGACACAUUGGAGACAUAUUCCAGAGCUGAAGGCUCCAUUUAAGAUGGGAAGAUACAGAAGAAUCCUUUAUUGUAACAGGUCGCAAAUCGUCUUGACACAACCUUAAAACGAAUGAGGAAUCACAGAGUUCCAUUUUGACUAGAUAUUUCCUCCCUAGUCAAGCAAGGGAUACUCACCUAGAUGUGGUUCAGUCACAGAGUGCCAUUUUGACUGCCAUUUUUUCAUGAAGCACGUGAAGAGAUUAAAAAGGAGAGACCAGUACAAAGCAUUGCACGGAAAAAGAUCACCGAGUAGUGGGGAAAAAGAGCAGAUUACCUAAUGCAGGACAGUCAAAAUGCAGGUGCCCCUCAAACAUCUACUGCAGGGUUCUCCUUGAUGUAUCUGCUGGAAAGGCUUAGUGGAGCUGAUGUUCUAGUCUGCUUCCUCAUUGGAUCCUCACAACAACCCUGUGAGGUAGGUAAGGCUGAGAGAUAGAGCGCUUCAUGGCAGAGUGAGGAUUUGAACUCGAGUCUCCCAGGUCCUAAUCCAGCACUCUAACCUUUCUCAGUAACUUCCUUUGGAGAAAGCACUUUCCCACAGGAUCCUAGACUUGCCAUGUCCCUGAGCAGCCACUCUCCAGUCGCCAUCAACAGGUUCAUCCUCAAAAUGCUUUAUUUGCCUUUUCAGCAAGUUUUUAACUUACCUGUCUUUCUUUUCUUCCAAGGCAACGUGAGCCAACAUGAAAUUAGAAGGAAUGGCUUUGUCCUCUCCUUGUCUUCUUUGCUUUUUUUCUCUCGACAUGCACAUUUCUAGCUUCAGCAACAAAAACCCCAAACUUUUCCUUCAUGAAAUAACUUCUCUAGUUGCCUUUUAAAAGAAAAGCCUUCUAUUUUUCCUACUCAUUUUCCCUCUUCUUUAAGCAGACUUCAGAUUCAUGUGCUCCUUCUUUUCAUCCAAAGACUCAUUAGUUUGAAGGGUAAAUAAAGCUUGAUUUCCCCCACCCCUUCACAUUCCUUCAUUUAUCUUCAAUUUCUCUUGGCUUUUCCUGUUCAGUUUUUUUAAUUUUCUCGAUUCUCUUUAAAAUCUCCAUCUUGGUAUUUUUCUGAGUUUUCAGUUUAAAUUUGCCUUGCUUAAACUCUUUUUGGGGGUACUUUCUCAAAGUCCACCAUCUGUCUGCAAUUUACUGUCCCUGUGUUAUUAGGAUUAAGUCUUCUUUGAUCUUCUAUUUUCCUUCAGUUUCCUUUCAAUUUAACAUUUAAUUCCUCUCCUAACACUUUUUAGGGACAGAUACCUGAUUAAGGUAUACGUGCGCAGUAUUUGAAAUCAACCACAGCAGAGAUAGCAGAGAUCAUAGGUGAAAAUUACCUGUGUCCCUUUUUAAAGUUGUAAGUAACGAAUUUCAGAAGAGUGAAAUCCCUUCAUUUACUCUAUAAAAAAUUCCCAAUAGUUUUGAAAAACGUAAGCUGGUUUCAGUUGCCUUUUCAAACCUGUUUCAUCUUCCUAGCCUCCCUCUCCUAAUCCCUCUGCCCCUUAACUCCUUCAGCUCUGACCAGUGAGAGGGCUAACACCAGUACUAUAGCCAGGGACAGGCUCACUCACUGGAAUAUGGCUCGCUCCUUCUGCCACCAGUAGGUCAUAACCACACAUUAAAAAGUCCCUUGCAGCAUUAAUACAGUGGGUGCAAAUGUCUUUAGUUUCAACAUGGGGUCACUUCAGGGCUUUGAUGGGAAAUGAGUGUAUUCUGGAAAUACAAGGGAACUUAAUUUGUAAUCCACCCAAAUCUCAUGG